UACGUAGGGUGCGAGCGUUAAUCGGAAUUACUGGGCGUAAAGCGUGCGCAGGCGGUUGUGUAAGACAGAUGUGAAAUCCCCGGGCUCAACCUGGGAACUGCAUUUGUGACUGCACAGCUGGAGUGCGGCAGAGGGGGAUGGAAUUCCGCGUGUAGCAGUGAAAUGCGUAGAUAUCGGGAAGAACACCUGUGGCGAAGGCGGCUUCCUGGCCCGCAACUGACGCUGAGGCGCGAAAGCUAGGGGAGCAAACAGG
rnacentral:rRNA from 1 species